GCAAGGAAUUUUCCGCAAUGGGCGAAAGCCUGACGGAGCAACGCCGCGUGGGUGACGAAGGCCUUCGGGUCGUAAAACCCUUUUCUGUGGGACGAAGAUCUGACGGUACCACAGGAAUAAGCAUCGGCUAACUACGUGCCAGCAGCCGCGGUAAUACGUAGGAUGCAAGCGUUGUCCGGAUUUAUUGGGCGUAAAGAGCGCGUAGGCGGUGUCUUAAGUUAGGCGUGAAAUCUCCCGGCUCAACUGGGAGGGGCCGUCUAAAACUGGGACGCUUGAGGGCAGCAGAGGAAAGUGGAAUUCCCGGUGUAGUGGUGAAAUGCGUAGAUAUCGGGAGGAACACCAGUGGCGAAGGCGGCUUUCUGGGCUGUUCCUGACGCUGAGGCGCGAAGGCUAGGGGAGCGAACGGGAUUAGAAACCCCGGUAGUCC
rnacentral:rRNA from 1 species